GCCCAGACCACCAGCUAAGGUCCCAAAAUAUAUGUUAAGUGGAAAAGGAUGUGGCGUUGCCCAGACAACUAGGAUGUUGGCUUAGAAGCAGCCAUCAUUUAAAGAGUGCGUAAUAGCUCACUAGUCGAGUGACACUGCGCCGAAAAUGUACCGGGGCUAAACAUAUUACCGAAGCUGUGGAUUGUCCUUUGGACAAUGGUAGGAGAGCGUUCUAAGGGCGUUGAAGCAUGAUCGUAAGGACAUGUGGAGCGCUUAGAAGUGAGAAUGCCGGUGUGAGUAGCGAAAGACGGGUGAGAAUCCCGUCCACCGAUUGACUAAGGUUUCCAGAGGAAGGCUCGUCCGCUCUGGGUUAGUCGGGUCCUAAGCUGAGGCCGACAGGCGUAGGCGAUGGAUAACAGGUUGAUAUUCCUGUACCACCUAUAAUCGUUUUAAUCGAUGGGGGGACGCAGUAGGAUAGGCGAAGCGUGCGAUUGGAUUGCACGUCUAAGCAGUAAGGCUGAGUAUUAGGCAAAUCCGGUACUCGUUAAGGCUGAGCUGUGAUGGGGAGGAGACAUUGUGUCUUCGAGUCGUUGAUUUCACACUGCCGAGAAAAGCCUCUAGAUAGAAAAUAGGUGCCCGUACCGCAAACCGACACAGGUAGUCAAGAUGAGAAUUCUAAGGUGAGCGAGCGAACUCUCGUUAAGGAACUCGGCAAAAUGACCCCGUAACUUCGGGAGAAGGGGUGCUCUUUAGGGUUAACGCCCAGAAGAGCCGCAGUGAAUAGGCCCAAGCGACUGUUUAUCAAAAACACAGGUCUCUGCUAAACCGUAAGGUGAUGUAUAGGGGCUGACGCCUGCCCGGUGCUGGAAGGUUAAGAGGAGUGGUUAGCUUCUGCGAAGCUACGAAUCGAAGCCCCAGUAAACGGCGGCCGUAACUAUAACGGUCCUAAGGUAGCGAAAUUCCUUGUCGGGUAAGUUCCGACCCGCACGAAAGGCGUAACGAUUUGGGCACUGUCUCAACGAGAGACUCGGUGAAAUCAUAGUACCUGUGAAGAUGCAGGUUACCCGCGACAGGACGGAAAGACCCCGUGGAGCUUUACUGUAGCCUGAUAUUGAAAUUCGGCACAGCUUGUACAGGAUAGGUAGGAGCCUUUGAAACGUGAGCGCUAGCUUACGUGGAGGCGCUGGUGGGAUACUACCCUAGCUGUGUUGGCUUUCUAACCCGCACCACUUAUCGUGGUGGGAGACAGUGUCAGGCGGGCAGUUUGACUGGGGCGGUCGCCUCCUAAAAGGUAACGGAGGCGCUC
rnacentral:rRNA from 1 species